rnacentral:lncRNA from 1 species
AGUCAAUCUUAUCUCCCUGAGGUUGUAGUGGAACAGAUUGAAGAAACCAAUCCUAUCUCCCUGAAGUUGUAGUGGAGUGGAUCAGAAUGAUGGAUCUCAUAUAUCUGAAGUUGUAGUAGAGCAGAUCGCAUCAGACUUAUUUUUAAAGUUGCAGCGGAACAAGUUGAAGCUACAAGUCUUAUCUUUCUGAAGUUGAAGUGGACCAGACUAAAGAUAACAAAAUUUUGUUCUUUUGAGAAGCUACAAGGUACAUAUCCUAUCUCCCUGACGUUGCAGUGGAGUGGAUCGAAGCAUCAAUUCCUAUACCUCUGAAGAGGCAGUGGACUGGAAUAAGCUACUUGAAGAAGACGAGCACUCAAAGAAGUCAGAACCCAGAAAGACCGAGCAAAAUUGGUCCUUUUAUAAUCUUUGCUCCAUUUUCGUUACACGACAAUGAGCAAAGAGGGGUAGCUGCAAUCUUAGAUAUGAUAUGCAAUAUUAGAAGAUAUGAUUUUGUAAUCUUAGAGAUUUAAUUUGUAGGUACCCUUUAAUCUUAGCCGUUGAUGUAAUUGAUCUGUACCGUUGGAUUUGGGGAGGCUUAACUAUAAAUAGAUGCCUCUCCCUUCAUUGUAAAAGACUUGAGUUUGGAG